rnacentral:lncRNA from 14 species
AAAGAAGGUCUAAGUGCCUAUCUGAGACUAUUUUACCGAACCUGGGAUAAAUGUUACUUCUCAGAGGCAAAUGCUUAUACCAGUCUUUCUGCAACCAGAUUCCUGAAGAUAAGCAAGAAGAAAACAAAGAACAGUCUUAUGCCACCCUCUUCCCCGUAUUUGUCAUUGUGGUUGCCAGCCUAUAAGUGCUACAAAUCCCGUGUAGAAUUUUUCAUCAAGGACAUGAAGCUAAGCUGAGAAGGGUGCAUUGUGGAAAACCAAAGCACACUGGGGGCUGAAACUGCAACUGUUUAUAGGGUGAGUUGCAUGAAAAGUAAGGGGAAACAGCAGCUCCUGUUUCUUCAUGUAGUGAAGAAAACUAACCUGAAGUCCCACUGUAGUUAUGCCAUGAAUAUUGUCAGUGCCUUCCAAGUUUGUAUUGUAUCAAAGAGGAAAUAAAACUGCUAAUUUUAUGAUUUUGAAGUUAGGC